AACGAACGCUGGCGGCGUGCCUAACACAUGCAAGUCGAACGGGGUGAGGGAGCUUGCUUCUUCAUCUAGUGGCGCACGGGUGAGUAACGCGUGGAUAAUCUGCUUGAUGCUCUGGGAUAACAUCUCGAAAGGGGUGCUGAUACCGGAUAAGCCCACGGACUCUUCGGAGUUUGCGGGAAAAGGAGGGGACCUUCGGGCCUUCCGACAUCAGAUGAGUCCGCGUCCCAUUAGCUAGUUGGUGGGGUAAAGGCCUACCAAGGCGACGAUGGGUAGCUGGUCUGAGAGGAUGAUCAGCCACACUGGAACUGAGACACGGUCCAGACUCCUACGGGAGGCAGCAGUGGGGAAUUUUGCGCAAUGGGGGCAACCCUGACGCAGCAACGCCGCGUGAGUGAUGAAGGCCUUUGGGUCGUAAAGCUCUGUCAGAGGGAAAGAAAUGUGGGCGGCUAAUAUCCGUUCCACUUGACGGUACCCUCAAAGGAAGCACCGGCUAACUCCGUGCCAGCAGCCGCCGUAACAC
rnacentral:rRNA from 1 species